rnacentral:rRNA from 17 species
NNNNNNNNNNNNNNNNNNNNNNNUCAGGACGGACGCUGGCGGCGUGCUUAACACAUGCAAGUCGAACGGAAAGGCCUAGCUUGCUAGGUACUCGAGUGGCGAACGGGUGAGUAACACGUGGGUGAUCUGCCUCGUACUUCGGGAUAAGCCUGGGAAACUGGGUCUAAUACUGGAUAGGACCAUGCUUUAGUGUGUGUGGUGGAAAGUUUUUCGGUACGAGAUGAGCCCGCGGCCUAUCAGCUUGUUGGUGGGGUAAUGGCCUACCAAGGCGUCGACGGGUAGCCGGCCUGAGAGGGUGGACGGCCACAUUGGGACUGAGAUACGGCCCAGACUCCUACGGGAGGCAGCAGUGGGGAAUAUUGCACAAUGGGCGCAAGCCUGAUGCAGCGACGCCGCGUGGGGGAUGACGGCCUUCGGGUUGUAAACCUCUUUCGCUAGGGACGAAGCUUUUGUGACGGUACCUAGAUAAGAAGCACCGGCUAACUACGUGCCAGCAGCCGCGGUAAUACGUAGGGUGCGAGCGUUGUCCGGAAUUACUGGGCGUAAAGAGCUCGUAGGUGGUUUGUCGCGUCGUCUGUGAAAUUCCGGGGCUUAACUUCGGGCGUGCAGGCGAUACGGGCAUAACUUGAGUGCUGUAGGGGAGACUGGAAUUCCUGGUGUAGCGGUGGAAUGCGCAGAUAUCAGGAGGAACACCGAUGGCGAAGGCAGGUCUCUGGGCAGUAACUGACGCUGAGGAGCGAAAGCAUGGGGAGCGAACAGGAUUAGAUACCCUGGUAGUCCAUGCCGUAAACGGUGGGCGCUAGGUGUGAGGGUCUUCCACGACUUUCGUGCCGUAGCUAACGCAUUAAGCGCCCCGCCUGGGGAGUACGGCCGCAAGGCUAAAACUCAAAGGAAUUGACGGGGGCCCGCACAAGCGGCGGAGCAUGUGGAUUAAUUCGAUGCAACGCGAAGAACCUUACCUGGGCUUGACAUAUGCAGGAUCGGCGUAGUGAUACGUUUUCCCUUGUGGUCUGUAUACAGGUGGUGCAUGGUUGUCGUCAGCUCGUGUCGUGAGAUGUUGGGUUAAGUCCCGCAACGAGCGCAACCCUUGUCUUAUGUUGCCAGCACGUGAUGGUGGGGACUCAUGAGAGACUGCCGGGGUUAACUCGGAGGAAGGUGGGGAUGACGUCAAAUCAUCAUGCCCCUUAUGUCCAGGGCUUCACACAUGCUACAAUGGUCGGUACAACGCGCUGCGAGCCUGUGAGGGUGAGCGAAUCGCUGAAAGCCGGCCUCAGUUCGGAUUGGGGUCUGCAACUCGACCCCAUGAAGUCGGAGUCGCUAGUAAUCGCAGAUCAGCAACGCUGCGGUGAAUACGUNCCCGGGCCUUGUACACACCGCCCGUCACGUCAUGAAAGUUGGUAACACCCGAAGCCAGUGGCCUAACCCUUGUGGGGGGGAGCUGUCGAAGGUGGNAUCGGCGAUUGGNACGAAGUCGUAACAAGGUAGCCGUACCGGAAGGUGCGGGCUGGNNNNNNNNNNNN